rnacentral:rRNA from 1 species
GAUGAACGCUAGCGAUAGGCUUAACACAUGCAAGUCGAGGGGUAACGUGUUGGAAGCUUGCUUCCGAUGACGACGACCGGCGGAUGGGUGCGUAACGCGUAUGCAACUUGCCUCACAGUGGAGAAUAACCCGGAGAAAUCCGGACUAAUACUCCAUACACUCUUAAGUACGCCUGUACAUGAGAGGAAAGAUUUAUCGCUGUGAGAUAGGCAUGCGUCCUAUUAGGUAGUUGGUGAGGUAACGGCUCACCAAGCCGACGAUAGGUAGGGGUGCUGAGAGGCAGAUCCCCCACAUUGGGACUGAGACACGGCCCAAACUCCUACGGGAGGCAGCAGUGAGGAAUAUUGGUCAAUGGAGGAAACUCUGACCCAGCCAAGUCGCGUGAAGGAAGAAUGUCCUAAGGAUUGUAAACUUCUUUAGCGAGCGAGUAAGGACUUCCACGUGAUGGGAGUUUGAAAGUAGCUCGAGAAUAAGUAUCGGCUAACUCCGUG